rnacentral:rRNA from 1 species
CACGUAGGGGACGAGCGUUGUCCGGAUUCAUUGGGCGUAAAGCGCGCGUAGGCGGCUCGGAAAGUCGGGCGUGAAAUCCCCGGGCUCAACCCGGGAACUGCGUCCGAUACUGGAAGGCUUGAAUCCGGGAGAGGGAUGCGGAAUUCCAGGUGUAGCGGUGAAAUGCGUAGAUAUACGGAGGAACACCAGCGGCGAAGGCGGGUAGCUGGGCCAACACUGACGCUGAUGCGCGAAAGCUAGGGUAGCAAACGGG